rnacentral:rRNA from 1 species
GACAGAGGAUGCAAGCAUUAUCCGGAAUGAUUGGGCGUAAAGCGUCUGUAGGUGGCUUUUCAAGUCCGCCGUCAAAUCCCAGGGCUCAACCCUGGACAGGCGGUGGAAACUACCAAGCUGGAGUACGGUAGGGGCAGAGGGAAUUUCCGGUGGAGCGGUGAAAUGCAUUGAGAUCGGAAAGAACACCAACGGCGAAAGCACUCUACCGGGCCAACACUGACACUGAGAGACGAAAGCUAGGGGAGCAAAUGGG